AUUGAACGCUGGCGGCAGGCCUAACACAUGCAAGUCGAGCGGAUGACGGGAGCUUGCUCCUUGAUUCAGCGGCGGACGGGUGAGUAAUGCCUAGGAAUCUGCCUGGUAGUGGGGGACAACGUUUCGAAAGGAACGCUAAUACCGCAUACGUCCUACGGGAGAAAGCCGGGGACCUUCGGGCCUUGCGCUAUCAGCUUAGCCUAGGUCGGAUUAGCUUGUUGGUGAGGUAAUGGCUCACCAAGGCGACGAUCCGUAACUGGUCUGAGAGGAUGAUCAGUCACACUGGAACUGAGACACGGUCCAGACUCCUACGGGAGGCAGCAGUGGGGAAUAUUGGACAAUGGGCGAAAGCCUGAUCCAGCCAUGCCGCGUGUGUGAAGAAGGUCUUCGGAUUGUAAAGCACUUUAAGUUGGGAGGAAGGGUUGUAGAUUAAUACUCUGCAAUUUUGACGUUACCGACAGAAUAAGCACCGGCUAACUCUGUG
rnacentral:rRNA from 1 species